CAGUCGCCGCGGUAAUACGGAGGGUGCAAGCGUUAAUCGGAAUUACUGGGCGUAAAGCGUGCGUAGGCGGCUUCUUAAGUCGGAUGUGAAAUCCCUGAGCUUAACUUAGGAAUUGCAUUCGAUACUGGGAAGCUAGAGUAUGGGAGAGGAUGGUAGAAUUCCAGGUGUAGCGGUGAAAUGCGUAGAGAUCUGGAGGAAUACCGAUGGCGAAGGCAGCCAUCUGGCCUAAUACUGACGCUGAGGUACGAAAGCAUGGGGAGCAAACAGGAUUAGAUACCCCUGUAGUCCCUGUCUCUUAUAA
rnacentral:rRNA from 1 species